rnacentral:lncRNA from 10 species
AGAAAUUUGUCUGCAAAUUUUUUCCUCAUUCAGACAGAGAGCUGGGGUCCAGGAAACACUGGGUUGAUAUGAUAACUUGAUUAAGUCUGGGGACAGAUGACACGGGAGCACCAACUCGACUCAAAGGAACCUGUGCUCUCCUCUUUAACCUCUCCUUGGGAGCCUACAAAUUAUAUCUAUUAAUGCAUCAGCCCCGGGAACUGCACAAAGACAUUGUCUGCCUAAAUGUAUGUCAGUCAUUUGCAGGGGCCUUUGUGGAAUUCCCACCACAUUUUCAUGUCUCUUCGCUAUUUGAAAAAAUAAAAUGUAAACUGAUGGGCUAGACAAAGGCUCACAGUCUACCUCCUCUCGUUAAAAUCGCUUUGAAGGCAGAAGUCAAGUUCAUCAGCAAAAGUGUUCAAGAAAUUCUUGAAAUGGGCCCUGGGCAGCUGGAGCAUAUCCAGGGGAGAGAAACUACAAGGAAGAAGGGUUUGGAAACUGCAUCCAGUGAAGCAUGGAUGGAAAACCCAGGGAUUUGCCUGGAGAAGAGAAAACACAGAGAGGACUUGGGAGCUGAAGAAGUGCCAACGGGAAGAAGGAUGAGAGUUUGCUGUGGGUCCCGGGACAGAGCCCAGGGAGAGACAGGCGUUCGCCAAGUGCCAGCAAAGUGACUGGAUGAAAAAUGGGCCACGUGCUGGGGCCGCCCCUGCGGAUGUGAGGAAAUCAGUAGCGUGGCCACAGCUGCACAAAUCACAGCUGCCUCUCCUGGUGUCUGAUCCAGGAGACAGCCGGCCAUUGAGAGGCUGGUAAACCUCAGCUCCAAAUAACGUGAGUUUUUAAAAUGUGAGGGUUAAUUUAACAUACAGUAAGUUUUGUAUCCACCACCCCAGUCAAGAUAUAGAAAAUUUCUACCACCCCUGAAA